UAGUCCACACUGUAAACGAUGGAUACUAGGUGUAGGGGGUAUCGACCCCUUCUGUGCCGUAGUUAACACAAUAAGUAUCCCACCUGGGGAGUACGACCGCAAGGUUGAAACUCAAAGGAAUUGACGGGGGCCCGCACAAGCAGUGGAGUAUGUGGUUUAAUUCGAAGCAACGCGAAGAACCUUACCAGAACUUGACAUCCCUUGCAUAGCAUAGAGAUAUGUGAAGUCCUUCGGGACAAGGUGACAGGUGGUGCAUGGUUGUCGUCAGCUCGUGUCGUGAGAUGUUGGGUUAAGUCCCGCAACGAGCGCAACCCUUGUUGUUAGUUGCCAUCAUUAAGUUGGGCACUCUAGCGAGACUGCCGGCGAAAAGUCGGAGGAAGGUGGGGACGACGUCAAAUCAUCAUGCCCCUUAUGUUCUGGGGCUACACACGUACUACAAUGGGCUACAACAGA
rnacentral:rRNA from 1 species